AGAGUUUGAUCCUGGCUCAGAUUGAACGCUGGCGGCAUGCCUUACACAUGCAAGUCGAACGGCAGCACGGGUGCUUGCACCUGGUGGCGAGUGGCGAACGGGUGAGUAAUAUAUCGGAACGUACCUUAUCGUGGGGGAUAACGCAGCGAAAGCUGCGCUAAUACCGCAUACGCCCUGAGGGGGAAAGCGGGGGACCGUAAGGCCUCGCGCGAUUAGAGCGGCCGAUAUCUGAUUAGCUUGUUGGUGGGGUAAAAGCCCACCAAGGCGACGAUCAGUAGCUGGUCUGAGAGGACGAUCAGCCACACUGGGACUGAGACACGGCCCAGACUCCUACGGGAGGCAGCAGUGGGGAAUUUUGGACAAUGGGGGCAACCCUGAUCCAGCAAUGCCGCGUGAGUGAAGAAGGCCUUCGGGUUGUAAAGCUCUUUUGUCAGGGAAGAAACAGCAGCUCUAACACAGUCUGCGAAUGACGGUACCUGAAGAAUAAGCACCGGCUAACUACGUGCCAGCAGCCGCGGUAAUACGUAGGGUGCAAGCGUUAAUCGGAAUUACUGGGCGUAAAGCGUGCGCAGGCGGUUAUACAAGACAGGCGUGAAAUCCCCGGG
rnacentral:rRNA from 1 species